AUGUAGCGAUGGAAUGAUUCUCGGAAGCAUCCUCGGAGGGAUUCUUCCCAUGAUGUGGUGAUCAUGUUGGAGGGUCCCCGCUCGUACUCUGGGUUGAUCUGAUGUGUUCUAGUGGCAAGGAGGGGGGAGUAUGCCAGAAAAACACAGAAUAGAACACAUGUCAAAACGGCAGCCAAGGACUUCUUUGCCUUCGGCUGCGUCUUCGUCUUGUCCUGGAUUUCGUGUCCUCGAUAGUAGUACCGGGGACGGAUGGUUCUUAGAGGGUUGGAUGGUGAGCGAAUUUACUCUCGACUAACGAGUAGGAGUCUGAUAAUGGCACUUUACAAGACCAUCAUGACGGGGUCUCCAAAUGCAGGCAUGCCCAUGAUGGUUGUUGAUGCUGUUGUGGUUGUUGUUUGGGGGGGCGUGAGAGAUCGAUGGAUGAAAAGAUUGGGAAGAUUUUGAGCCCGCCCUCUAGGGUUCAAUAGGUCACGGUGCGAAUGGGGGACACACUCACUCACGCAUGGUGCUGCAUCACGUUGUAUACACACACUAGCUCGCCGCCAAGGCUCUUCCUACCCCAUUAUUCAUCGUUCACGCCAGAGUUGAACGAUGGACAUUAUUUUUAUGAUGAGCAAGCUCACAAAAGAUGAAGCCUCGUUGGCAUCUUUUCCUUGG